rnacentral:rRNA from 1 species
AUUGAACGCUGGCGGCAGGCUUAACACAUGCAAGUCGAGCGGAGAUGAGGUGCUCGCACCUUAUCUUAGCGGCGGACGGGUGAGUAAUGCUUAGGAAUCUGCCUAUUAGUGGGGGACAACAUUCCGAAAGGAAUGCUAAUACCGCAUACGUCCUACGGGAGAAAGCAGGGGAUCUUCGGACCUUGCGCUAAUAGAUGAGCCUAAGUCGGAUUAGCUAGUUGGUGGGGUAAAGGCCUACCAAGGCGACGAUCUGUAGCGGGUCUGAGAGGAUGAUCCGCAACACUGGGACUGAGACACGGCCCAGACUCCUACGGGAGGAAGCAGUGGGGAAUAUUGGAAAAUGGGGGGAACCCUGAUCCAGCCAUGCCGCGUGUGUGAAGAAGGCCUUAUGGUUGUAAAGCACUUUAAGCGAGGAGGAGGCUACUGAGACUAAUACUCUUGGAUAGUGGACGUUACUCGCAGAAUAAGCACCGGCUAACUCUGUGCCAGCAGCCGCGGUAA